rnacentral:rRNA from 1 species
AGCAGCCGCGGUAAUUCCAGCUCCAAUAGCGUAUAUUAAAGUUGUUGCAGUUAAAAAGCUCGUAGUUGAAUUUCGGGAUCAAGGAAUCGGUCAUGCCUUGGUAUGUACUGGUUUUAUUGGUUCUCACCUUCUAAAGAACCAUAAUGUCAUUCAUUUGAUGUUAUGAGGAAUUAGGACUGUUACCUUGAAAAAUUAGAGUGUUUAAAGCAGGCUUACGCUUGAAUACAUCAGCAUGGAAUAAUGAAAUAGGACAUCAGAUUCUAUUUUGUUGGUUUCUAGGAUCGAUGUAAUGAUUAAUAGGGAUAGUUGGGGCAUUAGUAUUCAAUUGUCAGAGGUGAAAUUCUUGGAUUUAUUGAAGACUAACUACUGCGAAAGCA